rnacentral:hammerhead_ribozyme from 1 species
AUCAAGCUGACGAGUCUCAAAUAAGACGAAACGCGCGUCCUGGAA